GUUUACAUUACACAUAUACUAAAAUUGGAACGAUACAGAAAAGAUUAGCAUGGCCCCCGCGCGCAAGGAUGACACGCAAAAUCGUGAAGCGCUACACAUUUUU
rnacentral:snRNA from 1 species